GGAUGAAGGGGCAGACUCAGUGGAGAUGCAGAGGGUUCCAAGAUACAUGGUGUGGGAGUGAAGAGAUGGCGAUCACAAGUAGGCAGAGAAACAGGCAAAGAGAGAGGAAGAAGUAGGCUCCCUGCUGAGCAGAGAGCCUGAUGUGGGGCUCCAUCCCAGGACCCUGGGAUCAUGACCUGAGCCGAAGGCAGAGGCUUUAACCCACUGAGCCGCCCAGGCGCCCCUAGAGUACAUUUAUUGAAAUAAAA
rnacentral:lncRNA from 1 species